rnacentral:lncRNA from 1 species
GACGUCAUCAACUCCCGCACUCAGGGCUUCUUGGCUCUCUUCUCAGGAGACACAGGGGAGAUCAAGUCAGAAGUCCGAGAACAGAUCAAUGCCAAGGUGGCAGAGUGGAGGGAGGAGGGCAAAGCGGAGAUCAUCCCUGGGGUGCUGUUCAUCGAUGAGGUCCACAUGCUGGACAUUGAGAGUUUCUCUUUCCUAAACCGGGCCCUGGAGAGUGACAUGGCGCCUGUUCUUAUCAUGGCCACCAACCGAGGCAUCACCCGGAUCCGAGGCACCAGCUACCAAAGUCCCCACGGCAUCCCCAUUGACCUGCUAGACCGGCUGCUCAUUGUGUCAACAUCGCCCUACAGUGAGAAGGACACCAAACAGAUCCUACGUAUCCGGUGUGGCAUCUGCCCCACACUGAGUCGGGAAAGAUGGGGUGGGAGGCCCUCCUGUGCCCGUGGCUCUUUUAGCCUCACCAUCCGUGGUUCCGAGACCCCAGUAUCCAUGCAUAUUAUGGGAUGGGUGGGUGAUAUGCCUGCCGUUUUGGCCUGCCUUCCCACAGCUGUGAGGAGGAAGAUGUGGAGAUGAGUGAGGACGCCUACACAGUGCUGACCCGCAUUGGGCUCGAGACCUCCCUGCGCUACGCCAUCCAGCUCAUCACAGCGGCCAGCCUGGUGUGCCGGAAACGAAAGGGCACGGAGGUGCAGGUGGACGACAUCAAGCGCGUAUACUCCCUCUUCCUGGAUGAAUCCCGCUCCACACAGUACAUGAAGGAAUACCAGGACGCCUUCCUCUUCAAUGAGCUCAGUGAGUAUCCCAGGCUGCUGCCACUGUGGGAGGGGCUGCAUGGGAGCACCCAGGAGCUCCCUCACAUUUGGCUUCCCCUCUCUGCAGAAGGUGAAACAAUGGACACCUCCUGAGCUGACACUGCACCCCAACCCUUCCCAGCCUGUUUUCUACAAGUUCUAACACUGUGACUUUGUAUAAAAUUAUUGAAAACUGG